UUAAGUUAUUAAGGGCGCACGGUGGAUGCCUUGGCACUAGAAGCCGAUGAAGGACGUUACUAACGACGAUAUGCUUUGGGGAGCUGUAAGUAAGCUUUGAUCCAGAGAUUUCCGAAUGGGGAAACCCAGCAUGAGUUAUGUCAUGUUAUCGAUAUGUGAAUACAUAGCAUAUCAGAAGGCACACCCGGAGAACUGAAACAUCUUAGUACCCGGAGGAAGAGAAAGAAAAUUCGAUUCCCUUAGUAGCGGCGAGCGAAACGGGAAGAGCCCAAACCAACAAGCUUGCUUGUUGGGGUUGUAGGACACUCUAUACGGAGUUACAAAGGACGACAUUAGACGAAUCAUCUGGAAAGAUGAAUCAAAGAAGGUAAUAAUCCUGUAGUCGAAAAUGUUGUCUCUCUUGAGUGGAUCCUGAGUACGACGGAGCACGUGAAAUUCCGUCGGAAUCUGGGAGGACCAUCUCCUAAGGCUAAAUACUCUCUAGUGACCGAUAGUGAACCAGUACCGUGAGGGAAAGGUGAAAAGCACCCCGGAAGGGGAGUGAAAUAGAACCUGAAACCGUGUGCUUACAAGUAGUCAGAGCCCGUUAAUGGGUGAUGGCGUGCCUUUUGUAGAAUGAACCGGCGAGUUACGAUUUGAUGCAAGGUUAAGCAGUAAAUGUGGAGCCGUAGCGAAAGCGAGUCUGAAUAGGGCGUUUAGUAUUUGGUCGUAGACCCGAAACCAGGUGAUCUACCCUUGGUCAGGUUGAAGUUCAGGUAACACUGAAUGGAGGACCGAACCGACUUACGUUGAAAAGUGAGCGGAUGAACUGAGGGUAGCGGAGAAAUUCCAAUCGAACCUGGAGAUAGCUGGUUCUCUCCGAAAUAGCUUUAGGGCUAGCCUCAAGUGAUGAUUAUUGGAGGUAGAGCACUGUUUGGACGAGGGGCCCCUCUCGGGUUACCGAAUUCAGACAAACUCCGAAUGCCAAUUAAUUUAACUUGGGAGUCAGAACAUGGGUGAUAAGGUCCGUGUUCGAAAGGGAAACAGCCCAGACCACCAGCUAAGGUCCCAAAAUAUAUGUUAAGUGGAAAAGGAUGUGGCGUUGCCCAGACAACUAGGAUGUUGGCUUAGAAGCAGCCAUCAUUUAAAGAGUGCGUAAUAGCUCACUAGUCGAGUGACACUGCGCCGAAAAUGUACCGGGGCUAAACAUAUUACCGAAGCUGUGGAUUGUCCUUUGGACAAUGGUAGGAGAGCGUUCUAAGGGCGUUGAAGCAUGAUCGUAAGGACAUGUGGAGCGCUUAGAAGUGAGAAUGCCGGUGUGAGUAGCGAAAGACGGGUGAGAAUCCCGUCCACCGAUUGACUAAGGUUUCCAGAGGAAGGCUCGUCCGCUCUGGGUUAGUCGGGUCCUAAGCUGAGGCCGACAGGCGUAGGCGAUGGAUAACAGGUUGAUAUUCCUGUACCACCUAUAAUCGUUUUAAUCGAUGGGGGGACGCAGUAGGAUAGGCGAAGCGUGCGAUUGGAUUGCAUGUCUAAGCAGUAAGGCUGAGUAUUAGGCAAAUCCGGUACUCGUUAAGGCUGAGCUGUGAUGGGGAGAAGACAUUGUGUCUUCGAGUCGUUGAUUUCACACUGCCGAGAAAAGCCUCUAGAUAGAAAAUAGGUGCCCGUACCGCAAACCGACACAGGUAGUCAAGAUGAGAAUUCUAAGGUGAGCGAGCGAACUCUCGUUAAGGAACUCGGCAAAAUGACCCCGUAACUUCGGGAGAAGGGGUGCUCUUUAGGGUUAACGCCCAGAAGAGCCGCAGUGAAUAGGCCCAAGCGACUGUUUAUCAAAAACACAGGUCUCUGCUAAACCGUAAGGUGAUGUAUAGGGGCUGACGCCUGCCCGGUGCUGGAAGGUUAAGAGGAGUGGUUAGCUUCUGCGAAGCUACGAAUCGAAGCCCCAGUAAACGGCGGCCGUAACUAUAACGGUCCUAAGGUAGCGAAAUUCCUUGUCGGGUAAGUUCCGACCCGCACGAAAGGCGUAACGAUUUGGGCACUGUCUCAACGAGAGACUCGGUGAAAUCAUAGUACCUGUGAAGAUGCAGGUUACCCGCGACAGGACGGAAAGACCCCGUGGAGCUUUACUGUAGCCUGAUAUUGAAAUUCGGCACAGCUUGUACAGGAUAGGUAGGAGCCUUUGAAACGUGAGCGCUAGCUUACGUGGAGGCGCUGGUGGGAUACUACCCUAGCUGUGUUGGCUUUCUAACCCGCACCACUUAUCGUGGUGGGAGACAGUGUCAGGCGGGCAGUUUGACUGGGGCGGUCGCCUCCUAAAAGGUAACGGAGGCGCUCAAAGGUUCCCUCAGAAUGGUUGGAAAUCAUUCAUAGAGUGUAAAGGCAUAAGGGAGCUUGACUGCGAGACCUACAAGUCGAGCAGGGUCGAAAGACGGACUUAGUGAUCCGGUGGUUCCGCAUGGAAGGGCCAUCGCUCAACGGAUAAAAGCUACCCCGGGGAUAACAGGCUUAUCUCCCCCAAGAGUUCACAUCGACGGGGAGGUUUGGCACCUCGAUGUCGGCUCAUCGCAUCCUGGGGCUGUAGUCGGUCCCAAGGGUUGGGCUGUUCGCCCAUUAAAGCGGUACGCGAGCUGGGUUCAGAACGUCGUGAGACAGUUCGGUCCCUAUCCGUCGUGGGCGUAGGAAAUUUGAGAGGAGCUGUCCUUAGUACGAGAGGACCGGGAUGGACAUACCUCUGGUGUACCAGUUGUCGUGCCAACGGCAUAGCUGGGUAGCUAUGUGUGGACGGGAUAAGUGCUGAAAGCAUCUAAGCAUGAAGCCCCCCUCAAGAUGAGAUUUCCCAACUUCGGUUAUAAGAUCCCUCAAAGAUGAUGAGGUUAAUAGGUUCGAGGUGGAAGCAUGGUGACAUGUGGAGCUGACGAAUACUAAUCGAUCGAAGACUUAAUCAA
rnacentral:rRNA from 1 species